rnacentral:rRNA from 1 species
UACGAAGGGGGCUAGCGUUGCUCGGAAUUACUGGGCGUAAAGCGCACGUAGGCGGCUUUCUAAGUCGGGGGUGAAAUCCUGGAGCUCAACUCCAGAACUGCCUUCGAUACUGGAGAGCUUGAGUCCGGGAGAGGUGAGUGGAACUGCGAGUGUAGAGGUGAAAUUCGUAGAUAUCCGCAAGAACACCAGUGGCGAAGGCGGCUCACUGGCCCGGUACUGACGCUGAGGUGCGAAAGCGUGGGGAGCAAACAGG